ACCAAGAAAAGCUGCAGCUUAAAAAUAAAUAUGUUAGAAAAUUCAUAAAUUGAAUUUUAUUGAUUUUAUUGAUGUCAAAAUUCUGCUGAAUUUAUGAAAAUGAUACAGAACUUGUGCAACUAGGCCCUUUUUUUGCAAUUCAUUAUUAUGUGUUGUUUGAAGGAAUAGCAUCUCUUAUUAACAUUUUGUGAAUUUGUUUAAGAACUUCCAGAAUCUAAUGUACUAAUAUUUUACUAUCUUGUUUGGAUUCAGGAAUAAAUAAGGAAUAUACAUACAAAACCAUUCAAUUAAAGAUAUAAUACCAAAUACUAAUAAAUAAUACAGUAAUUUGAAUAUUAAAACAACAAAAUCCAAGAUCUACAUAAUAUUUCCUAGUUCUUAUAAAAUAUAGAAUAAUUCAGGUGAGCAACCAAAGGUCUUGUGGAGAUUUAGCACGGUGUUAUUUGACUGUUAGCACUACUAUAUAAAUUAUAACAAGCACCUGCUCAAUCAAUAUCCUGCACUAAAUUAACAAAGGUUAGAGCUUAUUUCCCUCAUCAUUUAUUACAAUUCCCAACUUUUAAGCAUGGCUGCACUUUUUCACUUUUUUUCCAGUGAAAAUUUGAAAGGUUAUUUAAAUCAUGCAUGGUUACAGGUGAAUAACUCAAGUAUGAGCAGCGAUAUAGAGGUAUAUAAAGUCCAUGUGGUACAAAAGUAUUAUAAUUUCUACUGAAAGUGAUGUCUGCACACUGAUUGGUUACACAAGAGAAACUAGCAAAUGUUUGAUCCUUCUACUGAUAAUGCAGAGGCAGAUCCAGCCAUUUAAAAAAAAGGGGGGAGGGGGGGGUGUUCCAACUACAUUUCUCCAUUCAAAUCCACUGAUCAUCCAAAAAAAAGGGGGUUCCAACUCCCGAACCCCCCCUCCCCCCCUUCCCCCCAUGGAUCCACGCCUGUAAUGAUAGGAAUCUUAGGAGUAAGAAUACUUAAUAUAAAUUUAGGUAAAUACUACCUAAAAUUGUUUGUAUCUUAUGAUGUUUGGAGAUAUUUACUCAUAGACUUAAUCAAAUUGAUAAAAAUAUUUUUUAAAACUGAAUGCUUUUUUUUGUACUAUCUGAUGUGUUCAUUUGAAGACAAAAAGCUUAAAAAACAGAUAAACAUUUUUCAGUUCUAAUAGAGAAAAUAAUAAAAAAAUUCGUAAGGGUUCCACGGAACCCAGUGUCUCGCCUACUUUUGCUGUUAAUCGCAGACUCAACAAAAAUGAGGAAAAACAUCAAUUAAAAUUUCCCUCUCGAUACUGUCUUUUGAUUGAAAG
rnacentral:lncRNA from 1 species